rnacentral:rRNA from 1 species
CCGACACGGGGAGGUAGUGACGAAAAAUAACAAUACAGGACUCUAACGAGGCCCUGUAAUUGGAAUGAGUACAUUCUAAAACUCUUAACGAGUAUCCAUUGGAGGGCAAGUCUGGUGCCAGCAGCCGCGGUAAUUCCAGCUCCAAAAGUGUAUGCUAAAGUUGUUGCGGUUGAAAAGCUCGUAGUUGGAUAUUGGGCGAGCGCGGUCGGUCCGUCGCAGGGCGUGUACUGGUCGCGUUCGUCUCGACUUCGGUUCUCCGUCGGUGCUCUUGACUGAGUGUCGGCGGUGGCCGAGAAGUUUACUUUGAAAAAAUUAGAGUGUUCAAAGCAGGCUGGUCGCCUGAAUAGUGUUGCAUGGAAUAAUGGAAUAGGACCUCGGUUCUAUUUUGUUGGUUUUCGGAACGGAGGUAAUGAUUAAGAGGGACAGACGGGGGUGUCCGUACUCUGCCGUUAGAGGUGAAAUUCUUGGAUCGGCGGAAGACGAACUACUGCGAAAGCAUUCACCAAGAAUGUUUUCUUUAAUCAAGAGCGAAAGUCAGAGGUUCGAAGACGAUCAGAUACCGUCCUAGUUCUGACUAUAAACGAUGCCAACUAGCGAUCGGGAGGCGUUACCAUGACGACCUUCCCGGCAGCUUCCGGGAAACCAAAGUCUUUGGGUUCCGGGGGAAGUAUGGUUGCAAAGCUGAAACUUAAAGGAAUUGACGGAAGGGCACCACCAGGAGUGGAGCCUGCGGCUUAAUUUUACUCAACACGGGGAAACUCACCCGGCCCGGACACAGUAAGGAU